ACUGUGACAAAGCUUCAACAGCAAACACACUCGGCUUAGAGAUUAGCAUACCGCCAGCAGUCCCACGAUGCAUUGCUGCUCUACAAUGGCUUUGACUGUUUCCUUCAUGGACAGGCCAUGUACACUCACGAACCUCUCUAAGUACUUCUGUUCCACACUUGCGUUAAGUGUCACUGCAUAGCAUCGAGGAGGAAGGCCGGCUUUAGGGGAUGCAUUUGUCUUUUUGCCCUUUGUUGCAACUUCAGAAGCUUUCUGACCCCCAAUUUUAGGGUUUGGGAUGUCAGCAUAGCUUGCCUUGUAAAGAUGCAUGUUCCUUCUGCGUACUCUGUUCAAGAAACUCUGUGUACUAUGUACUUCGCUCAACGCUGUAUGUCUAAGCUUUCAAGGAAGAUAAGAGUGUUCUGUUAUUUCCUACAAGGGACAUAAAUGUAGGGAUGAAAAUGCUUUUAAUAAAUGUCAUGGGAUUAUA